UUGAACGCUGGCGGCAUGCCUUACACAUGCAAGUCGAACGGCAGCACGGGGGCAACCCUGGUGGCGAGUGGCGAACGGGUGAGUAAUACAUCGGAACGUACCCUGAAGUGGGGGAUAACGUAGCGAAAGUUACGCUAAUACCGCAUAUUCUAUGAGUAGGAAAGCAGGGGAUCGCAAGACCUUGCGCUUUAGGAGCGGCCGAUGUCGGAUUAGCUAGUUGGUGAGGUAAAGGCUCACCAAGGCGACGAUCCGUAGCGGGUCUGAGAGGAUGAUCCGCCACACUGGGACUGAGACACGGCCCAGACUCCUACGGGAGGCAGCAGUGGGGAAUUUUGGACAAUGGGCGCAAGCCUGAUCCAGCCAUGCCGCGUGAGUGAAGGAGGCCUUCGGGUUGUAAAGCUCUUUCGGCGGGGAAGAAACGGUGGCUACUAAUACUAGCUACUAAUGACGGUACCUGAAGAAGAAGCACCGGCUAACUACGU
rnacentral:rRNA from 1 species